UGAGGAAUAUUGGACAAUGGGUGAGAGCCUGAUCCAGCCAUCCCGCGUGAAGGACGACGGCCCUAUGGGUUGUAAACUUCUUUUGUAUAGGGAUAAACCUUUCCACGUGUGGAAAGCUGAAGGUACUAUACGACUAAGCACCGGCUAACUCCGUGCCAGCAGCCGCGGUAAUACGGAGGGUGCAAGCGUUAUCCGGAUUUAUUGGGUUUAAAGGGUCCGUAGGCGGAUCUGUAAGUCAGUGGUGAAAUCUCAUAGCUUAACUAUGAAACUGCCAUUGAUACUGCAGGUCUUGAGUAAAGUAGAAGUGGCUGGAAUAAGUAGUGUAGCGGUGAAAUGCAUAGAUAUUACUUAGAACACCAAUUGCGAAGGCAGGUCACUAUGUUUUAACUGACGCUGAUGGACGAAAGCGUGGGGAGCGAACAGG
rnacentral:rRNA from 1 species